rnacentral:snoRNA from 10 species
CUCCAUGUAUCUUUGGGACCUGUCAAGUGUGGCAGUCUCCCUUCCUUGCCAUGGAAGAGCAUAUUCUUGUUUACCAGCAAAGCUGUCACCAUUUAAUUGGUAUCAGAUUCUGACUUGCACAAGUAACAUUC